rnacentral:rRNA from 1 species
CCUACGGGAGGCAGCAGUGGGGAAUAUUGGGCAAUGGAGGAAACUCUGACCCAGCGACGCCGCGUGCGGGAUGAAGGCCUUCGGGUUGUAAACCGCUUUCAGUAGGGAAGAAGCGAAAGUGACGGUACCUACAAAAGAAGCACCGGCUAACUAUGUGCCAGCAGCCGCGGUAAUACAUAGGGUGCAAGCGUUGUCCGGAAUUAUUGGGCGUAAAGAGCUCGUAGGUCGUUUGUUACGUCGGAUGUGAAAAACCUGAGGCUCAACCUCAGGCCUGCAUUCGAUACGGGCAAACUAGAGUUUGGUAGGGGAGACUGGAAUUCCUGGUGUAGCGGUGGAAAUGCGCAGAUAUCAGGAGGAACACCAAAUGGCGAAAGGCAGGUCUCUGGGCCAAAUACUGACACUGAGGAGCGAAAAGUCUGGGGAGCGAACAGGAUUAGAUACCCUGGUAGUCCAGACCGUAAAACGGUGGGCACUAGUUGUGGGAAACCUUCCAACGGUUUCUGCGACGCAGCUAAACGCAUUAAAGUGCCCGCCCUGGGGAGUAGAAUGCAANAAUAAAACUAAAACAAAAGAAAGUAAGAGACGNGAGAGAGACGACGACGACACGAGGAGAGAG